GAUGAACGCUGGCGGCAUGCCUAACACAUGCAAGUCGAUCGGUAAGGCUCUCCGGAGUACACGAGAGGCGGACGGCUGAGUAACGCGUAGGAACACACCCUGCAGUGAGGGAUAAGACACCGAAAGGUGUUCUAAUACCGCAUACGGUCUUCGGAUUAAAGCAUUUAUGCGCUGAAGGAGUGGCCUGCGUCAUAUUAGAUAGUUGGUGAGGUAAUGGCUCACCAAGUCGAUGAUGUGUAGCUGGUCUGAGAGGAUGAUCAGCCAGACUGGAACUGAGACACGGUCCAGACUCCUACGGGAGGCAGCAGUGAGGAAUAUUUCACAAUGAGCGAAAGCUUGAUGGAGCAAUGCCGCGUGCAGGAUGAAGGCCCUCGGGUUGUAAACUGCUUUUAUAAGAGAAGAUUAUGACGGUAACUUAUGAAUAAGGGACGGCUAACUACGUG
rnacentral:rRNA from 1 species